rnacentral:misc_RNA from 1 species
UUUCCGUUGGUGAACCAGCGGAGGGAUCAUUACUGAGUGAGGGCUCCGGCCCGACCUCCAACCCCAUGUGAACCGAAACCUGUUGCUUCGGGGGCGACCCUGCCUUUCGGCGCGGCGCCCCCGGAGGCUCAUCAAACACUGCAUCUUUGCGUCGGAGUUAAAGUAAAUUAAACAAAACUUUCAACAACGGAUCUCUUGGUUCGGGCAUCGAUGAAGAACGCAGC